AUCCUCAACAAGGUAUUCUUCCUUGUUCAUAAUUCUUGUGCAGUUGGAAACCUCCGAUCGAAACUCUCAGAACCAACUUCUCGCCUCGAAAAGAUUCUGAGGACUGUGAUUUGUGAUAAAAGACAAGUUUGGGAUCAUGAAGUAUAAAAAAGGAAGCAUAGUGGAGGUGUUGAUUACAGAUGAGGUUCCUUACCAUUCUUGGCGUUGUGCUCAGAUAGUUUCCGGCAAUGGGCACAACUACACUCUGAGAUAUGACGUGUAUCCUGGUUUUACUAACGAGGAGAAUGUAGAACGUGUAUCCAGAAAAUUUAUUAGACCAUGUCCUCCAGCGGUGGAAAUUUCAGAAUGUUGGCCUGGUGAUGUGGUGGAAGUGUUUCAUGAUCUUUCUUGGAAGAUGGCAAUUGUGUCCAAGGCUAUCCGUUGGGACUUGUUUCUGGUUAGAUUAGCUGGAUCUUUCCUAGAGUUUGAAGCAAGCAAAUCAGAACUCCGUGUGCGUCAAUCUUGGCAAAAUGAUGAAUGGGUUGUGAUUGGCAAGGUUCAUAUGAAUAGUGAAGAUGGACAGUGCAGAAAGCUUUUGAAGCAUAAUUUAAAUUCAGGCUCCCGUGAGAAGCAAAGGGACCCGAAAGGGGAUCUCUUUAUAAAAAGUUUUCAGUUUUGUGCUCAGAACGACAAUUUACAGGAAUCACACAUCGUUUCAACUAGAACCCUGAAGCGAGGGUCACCCUGCUGUGUUUCUCAAGAUGAGGUAAAUGAAGGGACUGCCCAGAAAUUUAGACUCACUCAAAAAGAGGGUAGACGUCUCCUAUUGCUAGUCACAUCACCUGAAAGGGUAGAUGCUGUUCCCAACUCUAGAGAAAUGCCGGGUGAAAAAGGAAGGUACUCUUAUUUUGACAACAGAGCAGCUCCCUCAUAUGCAGCUGAUAUGGAGAGGGAAGAUCUAAGUGGUGCAUACAGAUGUUCACGUCCUUUAUGCUUGGAACCAAAGGGUGCUGACAGUGUUGCAUCUUCCACCGGUAGUUGCGGUAUUAACAGCUAUAGGCACUAUGAUAUGGAGUGCAAAUCAGGUGGUUUUGAAGAUGUUGAAGGUCAUGACAGUGAUGCUGAAUCUGUUUGUCAAGUGGGAUAUCAAGAAGAUCUCUCUCUGUGUAAAAAGGAAUUGGCAGCAGAAAUACAUACACUAGAGUUGCAAGCAUACCGUCGUACCAUUGAGGCAUUGCAUGCAUCAGGACCCUUAAGUUGGGAAAAAGAAUCAAUGGCCCAAAGUUGGAGGCUUGUACACCUUGCUUCUCUAUUGGCAUGGUACGGUGGGGCAUAGGCAGAGUGAGAUCUGGUGCAUAACGGCUCAUGAUCAGCCUCUUGUACUGCCUAUACACUGUCACAGUGCAUUAUCCCUUUGGGCUGUCUGUAAGCUUCACAAAUAUAUAUACUUGAAGGAUGCAGGCUACCACUUGAUCCUCUGAUACAGAUGGUUCUGACUUCUGUCUUUGACAUUCAGAUUUCAAUUUUUACAUGGAAUUAACUUGCUGGUCUUUCGAUCGAAGUUUACUUAUGCAGCUUGAUGUUCAAUCUGAAGCUGUAUGCAUUUUCCCCUUUGGUGGUAAGUUUUUAGUGCAAGUACCGGAAUGUUGUCAUGGUUGCAAUUUUCUUUUCUCUUUUAGCUAAAGGGGUUCAUGAAUCCAAUCUUCGGUUUAAACCCAUCGAAAAUCUUACUAACGAUAUAAAGGGCCUGUUUGUUAGCAGCUUAAUGAGCUUAACAGGACUUGUAACUUACUCGGUCCGUUGUACAUUACUGUUUGGUGGUG